GAUGAACGCUGGUGGUGUGCCUAAUACAUGCAAGUCGAGCGAACAGACGAGGAGCUUACUCCUCUGACGUUAGCGGCGGACGGGUGAGUAACACGUGGAUAACCUACCUAUAAGACUGGGAUAACUUCGGGAAACCGGAGCUAAUACCGGAUAACAUGUUGAACCGCAUGGUUCAACAGUGAAAGACGGUCUUGCUGUCACUUAUAGAUGGAUCCGCGUCGCAUUAGCUAGUUGGUAAGGUAACGGCUUACCAAGGCAACGAUGCGUAGCCGACCUGAGAGGGUGAUCGGCCACACUGGAACUGAGACACGGUCCAGACUCCUACGGGAGGCAGCAGUAGGGAAUCUUCCGCAAUGGGCGAAAGCCUGACGGAGCAACGCCGCGUGAGUGAAGAAGGUCUUCGGAUCGUAAAACUCUGUUAUUAGGGAAGAACAAAUGUGUAAGUAACUAUGCACGUCUUGACGGUACCUAAUCAGAAAGCCACGGCUAACUACGUG
rnacentral:rRNA from 1 species